AUUGAACGCUGGCGGCAUGCCUUACACAUGCAAGUCGAACGGUAACGGGCCUUCGGGUGCCGCCGAGUGGCGCACGGGUGCGUAAUACAUCGGAACGUGCCCGAUCGUGGGGGAUAACGAGGCGAAAGCUUUGCUAAUACCGCAUACGAUCUACGGAUGAAAGCAGGGGACCGCAAGGCCUUGCGCGGACGGAGCGGCCGAUGGCAGAUUAGGUAGUUGGUGGGAUAAAAGCUUACCAAGCCGACGAUCUGUAGCUGGUCUGAGAGGAUGAUCAGCCACACUGGGACUGAGACACGGCCCAGACUCCUACGGGAGGCAGCAGUGGGGAAUUUUGGACAAUGGGCGCAAGCCUGAUCCAGCCAUGCCGCGUGCAGGAUGAAGGCCUUCGGGUUGUAAACUGCUUUUGUACGGAACGAAAAGCCUUCUUUUAAUACAGGAGGGUCAUGACGGUACCGUAAGAAUAAGCACCGGCUAACUACGUG
rnacentral:rRNA from 1 species